GGCAGUGUGGCCGAGUGGUUAUGGCGCUGCGUUCAGGUUGACCCUGAAUUCAAAAUUUCGCAGUGGAGCAAUCCGCGUGGGUUCGAGUCCCACCGCUGUCA